CUUACAUUCAUUUUAUUUGAGUUCCUUCUUCAGGAAAGAACCCCCAGACCUCUCAAAAAGUAUCAAAGAACUGAAACUCACCAGGUAACCACCUCCAGACAAUGAGACCAGACCCCUUAUUCAUUCUGAUUGCUUCUUUCCCUUUCUGAGUUCCUGUUGUCCUAUACACGGUUACGUUUCUUCCUUGCUAGAUAAACCCCUAGUUUUAGUCAGUCAGGGAGAUGGAUUUGAGACAGAGCUCCCCUCUCCUCGGCUGCAACACCCAGUUACAGCUUUCUUCCUCAGCAAUACUUGUCAUCUCAGUGAUUGGCUUUCUGUGCAGAGAGCCGCAGGAUCUAGAUGUUUCCGUAACAGAUAUAUGGGGCACGGAGGAUUCUUAGGGCAGUGUUUCCGUAACAGAUAUAUGGGGCACGGAGGAUUCUUAGGGCAGUGAAACAAUUCUGUAUGAUGCAAAAACGGUGGGGACAAGUCAUUAUACAUUUGUCCAAACCCACAGAAUGUACGACACCAGGAGUGAAUUCCAUUCAAUUCCACUUAAUUUUUCUGGAAACCCAAAACUGCUUUUUUUUUUUUUUUUUUUUUUUUUUUUUUUGGAGACAGAGUCUCACUCUGUCACCCAGGCUGGAGUACAGUGGCACGAUCUUGGCUCACUGCUGCAACCUCUGACUUCCAGGUUCAGGUGAUUCUCCUGCUUCCACCACCAGAGUCCUGCCUCCACCACCAGAGUAGCUGGGAUUACAGGUAUGCGUCUCCACGCCCGGCUAAUUUUUCUGUUUUAGUAGAGAUGAGAUUUCACCAUGUUGGCCAGGCUGGUCUCGAACUCCUGGCCUCAAGUAUUUUGCCCGUCUCAGCCUUCCAAAGUGCUGGGAUUACAGGCAUGAGCCACCACGCCCCGCCAUCAAAAUUGCUUUUUAAAAGUGUGUUAAAUUCAAAAAAAGAAGCUAGAGGAAAGAGGGCAGAGGGUGGCAUUCAGGCAGCAGAAGGGCUGUCCUCAUGGUCCUUGUGGUGAGGGGAUGACCUCCUGCUGAAGGCCAGUCCACUGAGCUGGCACCCACAGAGGGGGACCUGGACUGUUUGCAGCUGAACAGCCUGUAGCCAGGGCUAUCAGAAGGCAGGGAGACCUGGAGUGCAUUGACAGUCACCACACAGGUUUCCAGGAACCUUCCCUCCCUUCCCUGAGUCAGCAUUCAUGCAUACAUUCCUUCCCUUAUUCAUUCAAAAUGUUUCUGGCCAGCCUACCAGGCACCCAGCACAUCAGACCUCUGAUCAUUUGCUCAUAGACUCAUUCAUUCAUUCACUUAAUCACUGUCUCUGUCUAGGCAGAAAGCAAACAUCUAGUCCUGCCAGCCCUAGACAGAAUGAUUUCAAACCCUAAUUAGUACUGUGGGGCUUAAUGAGGUUUCCUGGGAUUCUCAUUAUCAGGGAAAUCAUUUCACAAAAGCUGUCCAUGAUACAGUGGGCAGGGGCACCUCAUGCCAGUAAGGAGCCUCUUCCUGAGAUGAGCAACCGAGGAAACACCAAUUAAGCAAGGAAGCUGUGGAAGGGGAUGCCCCGGGCUUCCCAGAGUGCAGAGCAUGGAUGCUUAGCUGAGGGGUGGGGCUGGAACCUGGCUGCCAAAGCAGUUCUGCCAGCAGGAGCAGGGAUGGCCAGGCAGCAGCACAGGUCACUGCCCCGCAUGGUCAACAUGCAUUGCGGAUUUUAGCUUGCGUUUACGGAUGGCUUCUAGCUACAAAAGACACAGUGGCGCUCAGUUGCUCACCUGUGUAUUUUAAGUAACUAAUUCCUAUUCACACACUCAUUCAUUUAGCCAUUCAUGCAGGUUUCAGAUGUUUAAUGAGCAUCUACUAUGUGCCAAGCAGCUUCAUAAUAAACACACACUUAUUCAUAAAUCCAUGCAUCUGUAGACUUCAGAUGUUCAAAUGUUCAUAGAUGGCUUGGGGCUUGCAGGGACAGAUCUUCCAGUGUCACCAGGAGCCUCUGGGAUAGGCGGGAAACGCUUCCUACAGGGGGUGGGGCGGGGGGCGCAUUUGAGCUCCAUGUGGGGAAGGCCCAGGGCAACUCUAAGCUGAGUGCAGAGUCCCAGGUCCCGAAAAUAGUGAGGCUUCCAGGUCACGAGGUUACACCAGCAUCCAUGACGUCAGCAGGCCAGCGGCGGGCCCUUAGCCAUGGAGGUUCAGAUCGUGUGGGUUGUGGGUCCCACGGUCCCAGAGUCAGCCGGGCGCCCAUUGGCUUGGCCUCAGGAUGCCCAGGGACAUGCCUGGUGCAGCUGGGGCAGCAGGAGCUCACUCUACCAUGAAAUAUUCAUGGCUGCUGGCAAAGCCCGGCCCUAAAAUAUAGUUUGCAGAAGAAAAAGAGCCAUCAGGCAUUUAAUCAUUGUGUUAAUGAGGCUCUAUUUGGAAGCAAACUCCAUCUGACUGCGUCCUAGACAGCAAGAGUCAGGGCCCGGCCAACCUGUGUUGCCGGCCGCAGGGGCAGCCUCAUCCCUGAGACACCAGUGGGAGACACGCCCGGGCAAGGCACAGGCUUGGCUCGAGGCCAUGGCCAGCGGCCCUCCACUUCAGGGGAGCCCAUGAGAUUAUAACGGCAUCCUGAGGUUUGCCAAAAAGCAUCCUUUUAAGCAGAAAGCAAGCAACGGCCCUGCAUGGAGGCGCCACAGAUCCAGUCUGGCUGAGCAGGGGCUAGACCAACUCGUUUUCCCUAAGCAGCUUCCUCGGGGGAACCACUACCCCUCCUGCCUCCAGCUCCCCCUGCUGCCCAGGCCGCCGCCACAGACACUGCAAAUUACCAUCCAGACAAGAUUGCCGGGCCCUUUACAAAGCCUGAAGCAGCUCCUGCAGCCGCCGUCAGCGUCAGCAGCCGCCCUUCUUCGCCAGGUGUGCUGAUUGCAAGUCUCUCUGUGCGGCAGGAGGGGACGUCUCCAAAGGGCAGGCGUCCAGUGGCAGCACCGCAGGCCUGUGGGUGUUCCACCUGCAGAGGCCCCAGAGCAGCCCACGGAGGGCCACGGUGGUAUUAUUCCCAUUUCACAGGGAAGAAGCAAGGUCAGAGCUCUUCCCAGAUGGCUCACGCCAGGCCCAUGCUGCCCGCCCUUACCCGCUCCUCCCGUCCGGCGCUUGAGAGACGUGGUGUCUGGAAAGUCUGUCCCAUCCCAGCUUCCACAACACCCACUGAGACCCACGCCAACGCGCCCCGCCCACGAGAACCCAGGUCACUCCCGCUUGGUGACUGCGGAAGAACUUUCCGGGUGUCACGUUGGUCCAGUCCCAGGAUCCUCUGCAAAGAUACCAGGCACCAGGAACACUGUUGUAAUAAAUCUUUGCGUAAUUUUAGAGGGUGCAGUCCCACUCUGUUUCAUUCCCACUGCUGAGCCCCUCCUCCCUGCAGCCACGUCUCCCCAUGACUCGGC
rnacentral:lncRNA from 10 species